rnacentral:rRNA from 1 species
UGUGAGCUCGAUGAGUAGGGCGGGACACGUGGUAUCCUGUCUGAAUAUGGGGGGACCAUCCUCCAAGGCUAAAUACUCCUGACUGACCGAUAGUGAACCAGUACCGUGAGGGAAAGGCGAAAAGAACCCCGGCGAGGGGAGUGAAAAAGAACCUGAAACCGUGUACGUACAAGCAGUGGGAGCACGCUUAGGCGUGUGACUGCGUACCUUUUGUAUAAUGGGUCAGCGACUUAUAUUCUGUAGCAAGGUUAACCGAAUAGGGGAGCCGAAGGGAAACCGAGUCUUAACUGGGCGUUAAGUUGCAGGGUAUAGACCCGAAACCCGGUGAUCUAGCCAUGGGCAGGUUGAAGGUUGGGUAACACUAACUGGAGGACCGAACCGACUAAUGUUGAAAAAUUAGCGGAUGACUUGUGGCUGGGGGUGAAAGGCCAAUCAAACCGGGAGAUAGCUGGUUCUCCCCGAAAGCUAUUUAGGUAGCGCCUCGUGAAUUCAUCUCCGGGGGUAGAGCACUGUUUCGGCAAGGGGGUCAUCCCGACUUACCAACCCGAUGCAAACUGCGAAUACCGGAGAAUGUUAUCACGGGAGACACACGGCGGGUGCUAACGUCCGUCGUGAAGAGGGAAACAACCCAGACCGCCAGCUAAGGUCCCAAAGUCAUGGUUAAGUGGGAAACGAUGUGGGAAGGCCCAGACAGCCAGGAUGUUGGCUUAGAAGCAGCCAUCAUUUAAAGAAAGCGUAAUAGCUCACUGGUCGAGUCGGCCUGCGCGGAAGAUGUAACGGGGCUAAACCAUGCACCGAAGCUGCGGCAGCGACGCUUAUGCGUUGUUGGGUAGGGGAGCGUUCUGUAAGCCUGCGAAGGUGUGCUGUGAGGCAUGCUGGAGGUAUCAGAAGUGCGAAUGCUGACAUAAGUAACGAUAAAGCGGGUGAAAAGCCCGCUCGCCGGAAGACCAAGGGUUCCUGUCCAACGUUAAUCGGGGCAGGGUGAGUCGACCCCUAAGGCGAGGCCGAAAGGCGUAGUCGAUGGGAAACAGGUUAAUAUUCCUGUACUUGGUGUUACUGCGAAGGGGGGACGGAGAAGGCUAUGUUGGCCGGGCGACGGUUGUCCCGGUUUAAGCGUGUAGGCUGGUUUUCCAGGCAAAUCCGGAAAAUCAAGGCUGAGGCGUGAUGACGAGGCACUACGGUGCUGAAGCAACAAAUGCCCUGCUUCCAGGAAAAGCCUCUAAGCAUCAGGUAACAUCAAAUCGUACCCCAAACCGACACAGGUGGUCAGGUAGAGAAUACCAAGGCGCUUGAGAGAACUCGGGUGAAGGAACUAGGCAAAAUGGUGCCGUAACUUCGGGAGAAGGCACGCUGAUAUGUAGGUGAAGUCCCUCGCGGAUGGAGCUGAAAUCAGUCGAAGAUACCAGCUGGCUGCAACUGUUUAUUAAAAACACAGCACUGUGCAAACACGAAAGUGGACGUAUACGGUGUGACGCCUGCCCGGUGCCGGAAGGUUAAUUGAUGGGGUUAGCGCAAGCGAAGCUCUUGAUCGAAGCCCCGGUAAACGGCGGCCGUAACUAUAACGGUCCUAAGGUAGCGAAAUUCCUUGUCGGGUAAGUUCCGACCUGCACGAAUGGCGUAAUGAUGGCCAGGCUGUCUCCACCCGAGACUCAGUGAAAUUGAACUCGCUGUGAAGAUGCAGUGUACCCGCGGCAAGACGGAAAGACCCCGUGAACCUUUACUAUAGCUUGACACUGAACAUUGAGCCUUGAUGUGUAGGAUAGGUGGGAGGCUUUGAAGUGUGGACGCCAGUCUGCAUGGAGCCGACCUUGAAAUACCACCCUUUAAUGUUUGAUGUUCUAACGUUGACCCGUAAUCCGGGUUGCGGACAGUGUCUGGUGGGUAGUUUGACUGGGGCGGUCUCCUCCUAAAGAGUAACGGAGGAGCACGAAGGUUGGCUAAUCCUGGUCGGACAUCAGGAGGUUAGUGCAAUGGCAUAAGCCAGCUUGACUGCGAGCGUGACGGCGCGAGCAGGUGCGAAAGCAGGUCAUAGUGAUCCGGUGGUUCUGAAUGGAAGGGCCAUCGCUCAACGGAUAAAAGGUACUCCGGGGAUAACAGGCUGAUACCGCCCAAGAGUUCAUAUCGACGGCGGUGUUUGGCACCUCGAUGUCGGCUCAUCACAUCCUGGGGCUGAAGUAGGUCCCAAGGGUAUGGCUGUUCGCCAUUUAAAGUGGUACGCGAGCUGGGUUUAGAACGUCGUGAGACAGUUCGGUCCCUAUCUGCCGUGGGCGCUGGAGAACUGAGGGGGGCUGCUCCUAGUACGAGAGGACCGGAGUGGACGCAUCACUGGUGUUCGGGUUGUCAUGCCAAUGGCACUGCCCGGUAGCUAAAUGCGGAAGAGAUAAGUGCUGAAAGCAUCUAAGCACGAAACUUGCCCCGAGAUGAGUUCUCCCUGACUCCUUGA